rnacentral:rRNA from 1 species
AGUGAACGCUGGCGGUAGGCCUAACACAUGCAAGUCGAACGGCAGCACAGGAGAGCUUGCUCUCUGGGUGGCGAGUGGCGGACGGGUGAGGAAUACAUCGGAAUCAACUUUUUCGUGGGGGAUAACGUAGGGAAACUUACGCUAAUACCGCAUACGACCUACGGGUGAAAGCAGGGGAUCUUCGGACCUUGCGCGAUUGAAUGAGCCGAUGUCGGAUUAGCUAGUUGGCGGGGUAAAGGCCCACCAAGGGGACGAUCCGUAGCUGGUCUGAGAGGAUGAUCAGCCACACUGGAACUGAGACACGGUCCAGACUCCUACGGGAGGCAGCAGUGGGGAAUAUUGGACAAUGGGCGCAAGCCUGAUCCAGCCAUACCGCGCGGGUGAAGAAGGCCUUCGGGUUGUAAAGCCCUUUUGUUGGGAAAGAAAUCCAGCUGGUUAAUACCCGGUUGGGAUGACGGUACCCAAAGAAUAAGCACCGGCUAACUUCGUGCCAGCAGCCGCCGUAA